CGGGUGAGUAACACGUAGGUAAUCUACCUUCGGGACUGACAUAACUCCGGGAAACCGUAGCUAAUAUCAGAUAAAGCAACUACUCGGCAUCGGGUCGGUUGUGAAAUCCUUCGGGAGCCUGUAGAUGAGCCUGCGGUCCAUUAGGUUGUUGGUGAAGUAAAGGUUCACCAAGCCGACGAUGGAUAGCUGGUCUGAGAGGACGAUCAGCCACACUGGAACUGAGACACGGUCCAG
rnacentral:rRNA from 1 species